GGCUCGAUGGUGUAAUGGUUUAACACAUUGAGUUCCGGACUCAAAGAUCCUGGUUCAAUUCCAGGUCGAGCUA